GACGUAGGGCGCGAGCGUUGUCCGGAUUUAUUGGGCGUAAAGAGCUCGUAGUCGGCUUGUCCCGUCGGCUGUGAAAUCCCGUGGCUCAACUGCGGGUCUGCAGCCGAUACGGGCAGGCUAGAGUUCGGUAGGGGAGACUGGAAUUCCUGGUGUAGCGGUGAAAUGCGCAGAUAUCAGGAGGAACACCGGUGGCGAAGGCGGGUCUCUGGGCCGAUACUGACGCUGAGGAGCGAAAGCGUGGGGAGCGAACAGG
rnacentral:rRNA from 1 species